ensembl:lncRNA
CUUCCCGUCUCUGCUGCUUCCUGCUGAGGUAAAGUGGCUCCCUUCUCCAAGACAUGCUCCUGCUCCAGUCGCUGCUUACUGUGGCCAGAACCACAGGAGCGGGAAGUCCGGCCUGAAUCCUCUGAAACCAUGAGCCAGAGCAGCCCUUCUUCUUUCACAGCCUAGGACACAUGCCCAUCUCAUAGCCAGUCAAUGUGACCAAGAGCAUGGAAUGUGCUGAAUACCCAGGCCUGGUCAUCUGGUCACCCCUUGAGCAAGAGGCUGGACCCGUUACACCAAGCACAUGGACUGCAGCAGACCUAGAGGUGGACAUCAGGAACACCUGGUCCAGACCGCCAUCCUUGCUCACUUGGAUCAUGGGACUCCUGACUUGUCUCCUCCCUCCAGUCCCACCCACCAUGGUCCACUGCUGCACCAGCAGCCAGGCUGUCAUGAACUGAGCGGCUCUGCUCCACCACACCCUUCCACCAUGAUGUUUCUGUCUUGGAGCAGCCAACCAUGGACUGAAUCCCCCAAACCGUUGUUAUUCUGCACUGUGGCCAGGACUGGCCCUGCUGCGCUGGGGAGCCAGAAGUGCUGUUCAAACAUCUCAGUGAGUGGUCUGAUGCCCAGCAGCAGAAAUGUGUGGGUCACAGAAGAGAGACAAGAUUGGGAGUGGACUUGGAUGUGAGGGCAAUCUGGCUGUGACAUCUGUCACCCCAUUGCUCACCAGGAUUGAUUUGGCUGAUGGGUGUCCCCUUCCUCCCCCACUGCUCCAUAUGCAUCCCUCCCAAAGCUGUACACUUGGUCCAAGAGGACAACCAUCCACAAUAGAGGACUGUUUCCUUGGUCAAGGGUAUACAGUAGCUGUGCUUCUCUGCUAGGACCUCCAAACAAGCUCCCAAGAUUGGAAGUGG